AAACAUUUCUCUUUGUUUAUUUUGAGAUGGCUGUUUUAAAAUACCAUGAAAAAGAAAAUUAGGGACCUGUUUCUCAAACAUUUACUUUAUCACUUUUCAUUAAGAAUGUGAUGUUUGUGUUUUUAAAUUAUGAUUUAUUGACAAAGGUUUGCCAGCAGUAAAACAUCUGCAAAUAACUAUUUAAAGACAGUGGACAAAAAAAGUGGGUGGAAUUUGGUGGAUGGGGAGAUAGACUGACCACGGAAAACACAUUCCAAGCUGAGGUUCUAAUGCCAGUGAAAGACUUCAAUUCUCCUUGAAACAUCCAAACCUAAAGCAUGAUGCAAAGUGAACCACCACCAACAGUCUGUGAUCUCUUAGCAAGAUGUCAGCCAGGAGGAGCAGGCCGUGUAACCUGUGAUUCAAUCCCACACAGCAUCAGAGCCAGGACACCAGUCAGGAUAGGUCACCCCUCUGGCAAGCAAAGACUUCCCUAGAGGUAGAGCUGCUUUCUAUUAAUUUAUAGAUUCUGUGCAUACAUUUGUUUGUGAGCAGGCUGGCUCUGUGAGUAUCACAGUCUGGCUUGUGCAAGGGGCGCAGGAGGUUGUUGAGAAAACCAAGUGUGAGAGAAGCAACCACUUGACUUAAGCCAUAUCUCUGUGAGUGCUUGAAUGAGGGGUAGGAAAAGGUGCCCAUGCAGAAAAAAAGCCAGUCUGCAUGUCAGAGCAGCGAGAGCAUUCCAGUCGGGAACAUCAGAGGGGGAAGAGAUUGGGGGGAAGGCUGAAAGGCAGGAGCUCUGAGGGCAGCAAGCCUGGUGAUUGACCCUUAUCUAAUAUCCUUCCCCAGAAGGGUUUGUCCUAGCUACCACUUGUGUAUCCAAUCACAUCCGUAAAGGUGCUCUGGUAGUAAAAAAGCCUCCCUUAGUUUGAAAGUAGCAUUCAGUAACUAUAAAGUGUUUGUUCUGAGCGCUGGCUGCUGGGCUCCAUCCCUCCCGCCUCGUGUGAGCUACCCCCACUCAUUGCAUCACAUCUAAAAUUAGCUAAGAUGCUGCAUCCCAGCAAGCACACUGCUCAGUGGCUCCAAGCUGCAACAGCCAUAGCAAGCGUAGCUGCAUAGCUCCCCGGGUAGGAAGAUGUUUUCAGAUGGAUCACUGAACAAAACCUGAUGGUGAUCAGAAGUGUAACAGAGAGGUAAAGCAUCAUCCAAAUCUAGGAGCUCUGGUUCAGCCAAAGGUCAGAAAAUGGGAGCUAGUUCUAUUAUGGCAUGUUUUUAGCUUGCUGUUUUCUCAGCAACACGAGGUACCUGGGGACAGCUGUCAAUAGCUUCUCUACAGAGAAGUAGUUGGGCCAAAUUCUCCUCUGAUGCAAUUGCCCUGCUUUUGUUGUAACUGUACCAGUGAUGAAAUACCUCCUCUCUACUUAGGAACAAGGAAAGAGUGCAUGAGAUUAAACAUCCUUUCAGUGCUUUCCUUCUGAUUAAUACAGGUUUUAGUACACUGAAAAUGCUCCAGGCUUAAGGAAUUGUAGCAUGUGCUUCACCUUGCUCUGAAGCUUUGCUUCUCCUGCCCAGACUCAGCCCAUAGCACCACUGCAAUGUAAUUUAGAAGUCUGUAUUUCCAGUGCACUGCUAUUAUUUAAACAUCUGGUGUACUUAAAAUGCAUAUUUCAAAACCACUAAUCUGGGGGGAGAGGGGUUAAGAUUUUACAUCUCUAGUUUUACACUAGAGAAAAGCAAACUAGGGGAAAAGAUAAACUUUGACAGAUGCUCCAAGCAGCCAGGAAGCACAAGAGCUGUCAAAGCCUGCGUUCUGGAUUUGAGCCGAACCAAAUCACAGAAGCAGUUUUUCAGUACUUGGUCUGAAAGCAAUUUAGCUUUUCUGUGUUAGCGGAUUAUGCUGUUUUCAACAGUUGUUGGAGAGAUGAGUGAUGAAAAGCAUUUUCAUUCUGGGUGUGUUUCCAAGUAGAGAAUGCUCUUGCAUUCAAACCCGUCUUCUUGCUCUGAUCUCUCCUGAAGCUGAGAGGGGAUGUGGUCUGUCAAGCUCUGUGCAGCACCAUCCCCUCAGCUCAGCCUCAGAGCUGCUUUUGGGACCCCAGGUUUUUGGGUCUGGGAUGGCCUUAAGUUUUUCCAGGGAGAAAUCAGUAGAAGGUGGGGGCUGUAUCCUAGUAGAUGCUAUGAGGGUGCUGAGCAGGGACUUCACGAUUGGGCAUCCUGAACCUGGCUCACACUCUGGAGUGAGCCCAUGGGUAUGUGAACUGUCACAUAAUAACUGAUGGUAUUAUAGCUGUCAUAUAAGCACUGACAGUGCCACCCGUCCUUGUGUCCAGCUGGGUUUGGAGGCUGGUCUGUGACAGCCUUAACUUGGGUACAAACCAGCACCGCUCUUGGCUCUGUUGUAGGUUAAAUACUGCAAGGCAGCACUUGGGAGCAGCAGUAACACUUCUGGAGUUUGUAAAUUAUGAACCACAGAAGAGGACAAUCAAUAGAAAAGCCAAUGUGCUAAGUUUGCAGUAAUGGCAUUUCUUAUGUGACCUGUCCCACGUUCCUCUGGAGUCUGCCAAAACCAGAGAGGCAACCAGAAAUCAAAGGAUGUCACCAACUUGCACUCAUACACAUGGUUUAAUCCCAUAUGUGUUGCCUAUCAUUUUGGAGGAAAGAAUACUUUUAGUAAAAUAAAUACCCCCACAUUACUUCAGACAUCACCUGCCAGAAAAUAAUGCAGGAAUUCACAAAUAAACUAGUUUUCUGCAGGUGGUAAGUUUUUUUUCCAGUGGAGCAAAGUAUCUGGAGCGUCUAUUGUGUGCUUAAUAUCAAACAUGAAUUUUUGGGCUUUCUUCCAUCAGCUCACCUGCCAGAACUGCACUAAGCCUCCACCCCCAAACCCACCACCUCUAAUAACCCAUGGACCAUGUUUCUUAUUGCAGUAUCGGUGACCCUGCCUGUAAUUAUUCUUCACAGGCGAAACUCAGCUCAGUCCUUCAAGUACUGCAGCAGCUCUGAACAAAAAUAACCCCAAAGUCCACAACAGGAAACGUUAACAAUGGCAGGAUUACUGGACCCUGUGUCACCGUAAAAUAAAUGAGCAACUGAGAGGGACUUUAGGGAAAAGCAGCACCAUGAUUAGGUAAUGGGAGGGACUGACUUACGAGAGAGGACUAAAUGAGCUAAGCGAUGACGAAAGGGUGAACAGCAGAACUGCCUGCAAAUGUUUGAAAGAAGAAACCAUCCAGGACAGGGAGGGAUUCUCAAAGCUGCUGCCAGGAGUUAAGAGUAAUGGAAAGAAACCAAUAAAAUGAAUGCUGCAGUCACCAUAAGCAUUUCUUUAGCUCAAAAAACCCCAACCUGGUGCUUUUGUCCAUAUGGAAACCUUGCUCAUUUGCCCUGUUUUAUUCCUCAGCCAUAUCCCCACUUAGAAUUAUGUCAUGGUACAGUAUUGCUGACAUCUUUUAGGCUGGCAGCUCUGAAGGACUGUGAGGGAGCUAUGCCAACAGCCUCUUCAUUUCUUGAGGUGCCUCAGAAAGCCUCAAGGCUUUGGCUGAGGGAAGCAGUUCUGCACAGCAAAGCACUUUAGCAAACACUUCAGCCAGACGAUGAGCUGGACUCCCACAGCUAUAAAUCACAUCAGUGGUUCCCAAAUGAGGACCCCGAGUAUGCCCUCAGCCAACCCUGAAGCAGACGGGUCAGAAAAUACACGGAGUCAGAAUUACCCACAGCUCUGCAUGGCAGACCUUCAGUCUGCAUCCCAAUCCAGUUAACAUCCUUGCAGCAAAACAGCUGUGAGGCCUCAUGCUGUAUUUGUUUCCAUUAACUCCCCCCCAGUGGGCUUAUAUGUUUGUAUUUGUUUACAUAUUUGUACUGUCCCCAAGGGAUACUCAACGCUAUCCCUAAGGUUAGGGGCGAGUCAUUAGAGGGCAAGUACCUCCCUCUGAUGCAGAACUUGUCCCGUCUCUUUCUUCUGAGAGAGAUGUAAAUCUUUCUUGGAAACGCUGGACGAAAGUCCCUUCAAAUAUGUGGUUUCUUUCCGCAGCAGUUUUCAGUCUGCGCUUUUUGAAUUGCUGGGCCAGGAGUUUAUGUUUCCAAUUGUCGCUCUCCGAGACGCUUGUCUAUUGUUAAUGCGAUCCCAGCCGCUUUACAGCCUGCUCUCUUUAUAGUCUCCCCACGGCCCCGCGCCUUGAGAUUGAGGGUUUCCCAUCGCAAUUAGCGCUGCCGCCGCCCCCCUCGGGGCUCCCUUACACCGACUUCACGCCGCAUCUCUUCAGCCAGCGCCCACCGCGCCGCUCCGCCUCGGGAUGCCGCGGGCCCUCCCGGAGGCCCCAGCGGCCGCUUCCCGCUAGCGAGCCCCGGGGGAGGCCUGCGGGGCGGCACGUCUGGGGCUGCUGCUGCUCUGCCCGGCCCGACCGGCGCCCCCCGGCCGC
ensembl:lncRNA